rnacentral:tRNA from 1 species
UCUAUCAAAGGAGAAUAG